CAGAGAAAGAAUAUGCGAGUGAGUCAGAUAACUGAUGAUGACUCAUUCAGGAGGAGGAGAAAGCAUCUGGUAGUCAGAUAAGAAUGGCUGUGUGUCAGUGAGUGAAUGAAUGAAAAUGCAAAGCGCUAAUAUUGUUCCUAUCCCUUCUCCCACUGCUUCUGCUGCUGCUGCUGCUGCUGCAACUGCGAAGCCCUCUUUCUUACUGCUACUAACAGUAACAAAAGCAAACCCGCCUUCAAAAACCCCAAACUUUUCGGCGAGUGUUUACUCGUCUUCUUUUAUAAAACCAAACCAUUCCACCGUCUCCCAUUCCAGUUGCAGACCUCAUGCGCAGUGCUUAUCUUCAAACAAGUUCGAUUCGGCCUUCUUGUCUCAGGAUGACGAGGAUGAUGAUGAUGACCAAGCGGUAUCGGAGGAUGGUAAUGGUGACGUAAGCAUAAAUAUGGAUGCUGCGGCGGAUGAUAUUGAUAUUGAUAUUGAUGUAGAGAUAGAGAAGACGGGAAACAACUGUCGGAGGAUCCGAUCAGAAAUUGGGAUAGAGGCCCCACUCAACACUGUCUGGAAUCUCUUGACUGAUUAUGAGAGAUUGGCCGACUUCAUUCCGGGACUUGCCGUCUGUCGAUUGCUCCAUAAGACAGACAACUACGCUCGACUUUUUCAGAUUGGGCAGCAAAACUUGGCAUUUGGGCUGAAAUUCAAUGCUAAAGGAAUCGUAGAUUGUUAUGAGACUCCGCUUGAGACCCUUCCCAAUUUGGGUCACAGGCGUGAUAUCGAAUUUAACAUGGUUGAAGGUGACUUUGAAAUCUUUCAAGGAAAAUGGUCUCUUCAACAGCUGAAUAGGGAAAUAUCAUGUGACGACUCUUUGAUAGAGCAGCAAAUGCACACAACUCUUUCCUACUUGGUUGAUGUAAAGCCAAAGCUGUGGUUGCCCAUUCGGCUUGUUGAGGGUAGACUUUGCAAGGAGAUAAAAAUUAACCUUGCAUGCAUCCGAGAAGAAGCGCUGAAACUAAAUCACAGUAACACUAUGCAGCACACUCUUUAAAUCUUCACUAACGUUGACAAGGUGCAUGCAGGUCAAGUUCUCAACAUGCUGGGCUUGGAAGACUGGUUUGAAGGCCUUAUAUGCUUUGAAACUCUUAACCCUCAUCACCUUGAACCAAUUGAUUGCAUAAUGGCAUCAGAUUCUCUACAAACCCUCAUCACCUUGAACGAACUAAAUGGUCAUCAUAGAACGUACACCAGAGGCUAAAGCCAAGUCACCAAUUCUCUACAAACCCUCUUUCGAAGCAAUUGAAGUUGUUAUUUUUUUGCAAAUUUUGAUCCAGAAAAAACUAUUUUCUUUGAUGACAAUGCUAGGAACAUAGCAAGUGGGAAGGUAGCAGGACGUCAUACAGUCAUUGUAAGAGCUCUACAACUAAAAAAAACUGACAGAAAUAACUGAACCGUCAGAGGAAUGAAACUUGUAGCUCAUCGUGUGUAAAGUAAGGCUUGACUGAGAAAAGAAGUAAAAAUGGGGAUCUUCCAACUUUCGCAAAGCAUCCUAUCUUAUAGUUUUUUCUGGAUCAACAUUUGCUAUAGGAAUAGCAGCUUCAAUUGCUUCCACAGAGGGUUUGCAGAGAAUUGGUGACUUGGCUUUACCCUUUCGUGUCCGUUCUAUGAUUCCGUCAUGCAAUCAACUGGUUCAAGGUAAUGAGGGUUAAGCGUUUCAAAGCCUAUGAUGCCUUCAAAACAGUUUUCCAAGCUCAACCUGUUGAGAACUUUGAGACGCAUGUGCCUUGUCGGCGUUAGUGAAGAUCUGAAAACACUAGUAGAAAAAAAAACAUUAUUAUGAUUAUGCACGAAGGUAUAUUAAAUGUACACAAAAUAAUGUACCUAUAUGUAUUAUAAUGUACACAAAUUUAAACUAAUAUAUUU